AUGAUCUCAUCAAGGGGCCCUCAGCACCGCUGGAGAAGAGCUGUUUUCAAUAUCCCUAACAUUCUAAAUGGCCAUGGGCACAGGGGAGCAUUUAUAAGGACCAGUUGGCAGAUGGUGACUUGCAAGCCAAGAGGAUAUCGUUACCCUUUCUCCAAGAGGCUGGAGAAGACAUCAUGGAAGAAAUGGAAUUCUCAUAAUUUUGCUGUUUUCAACUCUUCUGCUAACAGGUGAAAACAUUUGUCAGGGUGGAAGUCAAACUAUGCUCUGGCUUACUUCUGGUCAAAGGUGAAAGACAGAAAACAACUGUGCUUUAUAUGAAGAAAUACGCAGGAGACAAGUGCAAACACUUCUUCUUGUCCACGCCUUGCUUAUUUUAGCGGGGAGCAAGACAGUUGGGAAACCAUGCAUACAUGGGCUGGCUGGGGAUGGCCUUUGAAACGAAGCCUUUGCAGCCAGCGUGUGCAUUUUAAACAACUGCACCAGGAUUCAUUUAUCUCCUUUUCCUAUUUGCAAAGCCUCGGCUGAGCAGAUCUGCUGGUUCUGUUAGAGAAAAGCGACUUCCUGAGACGUGAUGUAA
rnacentral:lncRNA from 1 species